rnacentral:rRNA from 1 species
UGGGGAAUAUUGGACAAUGGGCGCAAGCCUGCUCCAGCAAUGCCGCGUGUGUGAAGAAGGCCUUCGGGUUGUAAAGCACUUUUAUCUGGAGCGAAAUCUGCAGGGCUAAUACCCAUGCAGUCUGACGGUACCAGAGGAAUAAGCACCGGCUAACUUCGUGCCAGCAGCCGCGGUAAUACGAAGGGUGCACGCGUUACUCGGACUUACUGGGCGUAAAGCGUGAGUAGGUGGUUUCUUAAGUCUGCUGUGAAAGCCCCGGGCUCAACCUGGGAAUUGCAGUGGAAACUAGGAGGCGAGAGGGCGGUAGAGAGUAGUGGAAUUCACGAUGUAGCGGUGAAAUGCGUACAGAUCGGGAGGAGCAGCAGUGGCGAAGGCGGCUACAUGGACCAGCACUGACACUGAGUCACGAGAGCGUGGGGAGCAAAAC